rnacentral:rRNA from 1 species
CACAAGCGGCGGAGCAUGCGGAUUAAUUCGAUGCAACGCGAAGAACCUUACCUGGGUUUGACAUAUAUCGGAAACGUUCAGAGAUGGGCGCCCCGUAAGGUCGGUAUACAGGUGGUGCAUGGCUGUCGUCAGCUCGUGUCGUGAGAUGUUGGGUUAAGUCCCGCAACGAGCGCAACCCUCGUCCAAUGUUGCCAGCGGGUUAUGCCGGGGACUCAUUGGAGACCGCCGGGGUCAACUCGGAGGAAGGUGGGGAUGACGUCAAGUCAUCAUGCCCCUUAUGUCCAGGGCUUCACGCAUGCUACAAUGGCCGGUACAAAGAGUUGCGAGCCUGUGAGGGUGAGCGAAUCUCAAAAAGCCGGUCUCAGUUCGGAUUGGGGUCUGCAACUCGACCCCAUGAAGUCGGAGUCGCUAGUAAUCGCAGAUCAGCAACGCUGCGGUGAAUACGUUCCCGGGGCUUGUACACACCGCCCGUCAAGUCAUGAAAGUCGGUAACACCCGAAGCCGGUGGCCUAACCCGUUUGGGGGGGAGCUGUCGAAGGUGGGACUGGUAAUUAGGACUAAGUCGUAACAAGGUAACC